rnacentral:tRNA from 1 species
AGUUAAAUAACUUAAAGAAAAGUAUAUGUUUUGAAAACAUAAUAAAGAAGUUUAAAUCUUCUAUUAACUU